AUAGCAACCAAUGAAAAUGUGCAAGCGAAUGGAAACGUGCAAGCGAAUGGAAACUUUACAGGUGAAUAUUUAUGAGAAAGCAACAUCAGUCUCAGGUUGAAGCUCCUGGGAACAGGGUUUCCAAAAUGGGCAAGCAAGCCGCUUGUACAAUCAAAUAAAUGGACAAACAAAACUAGAAAAGCCAUAUGCGAAACUGAAACAUUGCUGUGAAGCCACCUCGUAACAAAUAGAAAGACAGAAAGAGAAGAAAUGAAAAAAAAUCGAGUCAAAUGUUCCUUUUGAAAGGUCCCACUUUUCAAAAGCCCUUCUCCGUCCUUGGCCAUUCAAACUAUGCAUCAAGGCCGGUGCCUUAUGAAUUGGAGAUUCCAAAUCAAUUCUUUCCGCUCCAUUCUUUGCGCUUGCUAAA
rnacentral:misc_RNA from 1 species